AGAAUCAACGCUGGCGGCGUGCCUAACCCAUGCAAGUCGAACGAGAAAGUGGAGCAAUCCAUGAGUAAAGUGGCGACCGGGUGAGUAACACGUGACUAACCUACCUUCGAGUGGGGGAUAACCUCGGGAAACCGAGGCUAAUACCGCAUAACAUCGUGAGAUCAAAGCAGUAAUGCGCUGGAAGAGGGGGUCGCGGCUGAUUAGCUAGUUGGCGGGGUAAUGGCCCACCAAGGCGAAGAUCGGUAGCCGGCCUGAGAGGGCGCGACGGCCGACGACUGGAACUGAAACACGGUCCAGACUCCUACGGGAGGCAGCAGUGGGGAAUUUUGCGCAAUGGGGGAAACCCUGACGCAGCAACGCCGCGUGGAGGAUGAAGCCCCUUGGGGUGUAAACUCCUUUCGAUCGGGAAGAUGAUGACGGUACCGAUAUAAGAAGCCCCGGCUAACUUCGUGCCAGCAGCCGC
rnacentral:rRNA from 1 species